rnacentral:rRNA from 1 species
UACGUAGGGUGCAAGCGUUGUCCGGAAUUAUUGGGCGUAAAGAGCUCGUAGGCGGCCUGUUGCGUCCGCUGUGAAAGCCCGGGGCUUAACCCCGGGUCUGCAGUGGAUACGGGCAGGCUAGAGGUAGGUAGGGGAGAAUGGAAUUCCCGGUGUAGCGGUGAAAUGCGCAGAUAUCGGGAGGAACACCGGGUGGCGAAGGCGGUUCUCUGGGCCUUACCUGACGCUGAGGAGCGAAAGCGUGGGGAGCGAACAGG